rnacentral:tRNA from 1 species
ACGCGAUUAGCUCAGUGGGAGAGCGCCUCUGAUCGCAGAGAAGUAUCGGGACCGGUUCGAAUCCGGUAUAGUGUG